rnacentral:rRNA from 1 species
UACGUAGGUGGCAAGCGUUGUCCGGAUUUAUUGGGUUUAAAGGGUGCGUAGGCGGUCUUGUAAGUCAGUGGUGAAAUCCGGCAGCUUAACUGUCGAUGUGCCAUUGAUACUGCAGGACUUGAGUACAGACGAGGUAGGCGGAAUUGACGGUGUAGCGGUGAAAUGCUUAGAUAUCGUCAAGAACACCGAUAGCGAAGGCAGCUUACUAGACUGUAACUGACGCUGAUGCACGAAAGUGUGGGGAUCAAACAGG